GACGAACGCUGGCGGCGUGCCUAAUACAUGCAAGUUGAGCGAUGAAGAUUGGUGCUUGCACCAAUUUGAAGAGCAGCGAACGGGUGAGUAACGCGUGGGGAAUCUGCCUUUGAGCGGGGGACAACAUUUGGAAACGAAUGCUAAUACCGCAUAACAACUUUAAACAUAAGUUUUAAGUUUGAAAGAUGCAAUUGCAUCACUCAAAGAUGAUCCCGCGUUGUAUUAGCUAGUUGGUGAGGUAAAGGCUCACCAAGGCGAUGAUACAUAGCCGACCUGAGAGGGUGAUAGGCCACAUUGGGACUGAAGCACGGCCCAAAAUCCUACGGGAGGCAGCAGUAGGGAAUCUUCGGCAAUGGACGAAAGUCUGACCGAGCAACGCCGGGUGAGUGAAGAAGGUUUUCGGAUCGUAAAACUCUGUUGGUAGAGAAGAACGUUGGUGAGAGUGGAAAGCUCAUCAAGUGACGGUAACUACCCAGAAAGGGACGGCUAACUACGUG
rnacentral:rRNA from 1 species